rnacentral:tRNA from 1 species
GGAGGUGUGGCUCAAGUGAUAGAGUACUUGCCUAGCAAGCUAAGCGUUCUGAGUUCAAAUCUCAGUACUCCCU